CAAGAAGUAGUUUAAUUAGAAUAUCAGCUUU
rnacentral:tRNA from 1 species